CCCUAAUGUCACUGCCAUACAAAGUCAGUGCUCUUACCCACUGAGCUACUCCCGAGACUCGCAGCGUGCUCCGUAUAUAUGAGCCGGCUCCUCCAGACUGGAUGGCUGACCUGGUGGAGGGGGGUUUCUGGGUGCUCGGAAACCCCCCCUGGGUGCGCCACUGGAUGGAAGGUGCGGAUUCUUCUCUCAAAGCGUCGUGGAUAGACAAAUGCGUUUCGGCUGAUUAUCAUAGAAAGGCGAGGGGAGUCGCCAUUAUAUUUCAUAAAGACCUGAACUACACCAUUCUACACUCGAUUCGCGAUCAGGGCGGUAGAUAUUUAAUUCUGGAUAUAGAACUAUGGGGAGCAAGGUACACAUUGGUGAAUGUAUAUGCACCCAAUGUAGGGACUGUAGAUUUUUUACAGGAGCUAACCAAUUUGCUCUCACAGAGGGACAACUUCGCCCUAGUGAUGGGUGGGGAUUUUAAACCGGUGAACGACCCUACUUUGGAUAAAAGGCCUCCCCCAAGAAAUUGACUUCCCCUUUGUGGAAGCAGAUGUUGUUGAUGAGAUCCACUCUCCGGCUCACGGACAUCUGGCGGCUUCUGUAUCCCACAGACAAGUCAUACACUUUCUACUCGAAUGUACACCAUUCGUGGUUUAGAAUUGACGCCAUGUUGAUAGCUGACUCGUUAGUGACGCAAGUGAGAAAUACUGAUAUACAUAACAUCCUGAUUUCCGAUCACGCUCCAGUGUCUUUGACAUUGGAGAGGAACAUACAAUCGGGCGGCACCAGAUUUUGGCGGUUCCCCAGCUAUUUGUACAAGUCAGAUGAUUUUAGAAAAUUUCUUACAAAUAAUUGGUUGAAUUAUCUGGAUGACAACCUAGAUUACCGGGAUAGACCACAUAUUUUUUGGGGCGCAGCAAAGUCUGUUCUCAGAGGCCAGAUAACCGAGUAUGUCGUCAAGCAUAAAAGGAAAUCGGCUGCAACUCAUCAUUCGUUACACAAUUCCAUGAACGAAGCUCUUCAUGAACACCUCCUUCUGUCAACUGAAGACUCAUUACAUAAAUACACUCAAGCUAAACAGCUACUGAAUGAUUUUUUUAUUGUCCCAGGCCAAAAAAGAUAUAGUCUUUUCUCGUUAUAAAUAUUACCAAUGGGGAAACAAGACGGGACGUCUCUUAGCGGCCAUGUCCAAAAAACGACACUCCACCCGCUACAUAACAGCAGUCAAAAAUAGACACACAGGCCAAUUACUCACAAAUACUCAGGCGAUUGUAAACCACUUUGAAUCAUAUUUUACAAACUUAUACUCCAGCCUUCCUUUUGAUAGCGAGGCACAUGAAGGGUUGUUGAGACAAGUGGAUAUACCUCGGUUGUCUCAAACUCAAGCUGAAACAUUGAUUGCGCCUAUUACGAUUUUAGAGAUUGAUGAGGAAAUAUCGAAUCUUCAUCUACAUAAAUCACCUGGGCCAGAUGGUCUGUCAAACGAAUUUUAUAAAAUUCUUCACCCACAUAUUGCUCCCACGCUACUCGAAUUGUUUAACAAUAUCCUGCAACACCACACACCGUCCCACCAUUUUAACACCGUUCACACUAUUCUGAUCCCUAAACCUACUCAAGACCCUCAGUUAGUGAACUCCUAUAGACCUAUCACUUUACUAAACACAGACAUCAAAUUGUUUGCCAAAAUACUUUCAGACAGAUUGCAAACACUUCUACCGCACGCCCUGACCCCCCACCAACUUGGCUUUGUAAAAAAUAAACACUCCGUUAAAGGGGUUCGUGCGGCUGUAGCGGCAAGCAUUGUCUCUGCACAAUCAUGCUUAUCCAAAAACAUCUUACCGAGUCUAGACAAGUGGUUACCAAACUUUUUUGAAUCACGGCGCCCUAGAAUAUCAGAAUUUUUUUCACGGCACCUCUAGGCCAAAAAUUUCUUAUUGCGAAAUUUAGAAAGAAAUAUUACAUUAAGUAGAUCGUGUUUAUAGGUCAUCCUUAGGGUCAGUUGUGUGGUGAGGGACGAGAUUUGCUUCUGUUUGGCCACAUAUUUUAUGACUGGCAGCAACCAGCACUGGUUUUGCAUAUUAUAUUGACCACGAAUAAUUAGAAUUGGUCCUGGACCACCAACCCAGGGCACCCCUGCAAGUGUCCCGAGGCACCCCAGGUAGCCACGGCACACAGUUUGGGAACCUCUGGUCUAGACACAACAAAAGCCUUUGACACAGUAUUGUGGCCCCACUUAUACUUCGUACUACAACAUAGAAAUUUUCAUCCUGACUUUAUUAAGACAAUACAAUAUCUGUAUACAUCUCCCUCCACUACCAUCCUGAUUAAUGGUUCAUGCAGUAACCCGAUUAUCAUGCACAGGGAAACGCGCCAAGGCUGUCCCUUGUCCCCGCUUCUAUUUAAUCUGGCGAUAGACCCUUUACUACGCAUCUUGCAAAAUGACACCCAAUUCAAGGGAAUUAAAAUUGGGCUAAGAGAAAUGAAAUUAACAGCGUUUGCUGACGAUGUUCUGUUGUACAUAGGAAACCCGACAGACUCACUGCCUCACAUUUUUAAACUUUUGCAAGCAUACGGGAAUGUUUCGGGUUACUUUAUCAAUUGGUCUAAAUCAGUAGCACUCAGAUUGGGUUCCGGGAACGUUGCAAGAGAUGGGAUAGAAAACUUACCCUUAACAUGGACGUCAGAUUUCAUUACAUAUAUGGGUAUUCGGAUUCCUAGAAUUCCGAAACUACUGUAUAGUUUAAAUUUCACUCCAAUAAUACAAAGUAUUGCUGUUGAGCUGGAAAUCUUUACAAUUAUCGUACUUGGGGAGAGUCAACUUAAUAAAAAUGGUGUAAUUU